GGCAGUAUUUCUCUAUUUGACCCGAGAAACUAGUUAAAGCAGGAAUGAAGGACAUGCGCCUACAUUGAGGAGCUAAAAUGAUAAAGUCCAGAACACGACACGACAUUCAACAUGCGGAAGAUAAUUAGUCAUCAAAAAGACAAAAGGAAGACCAAACUCUGUAAGUAAGAACUUUGCUGUUGUUCAACGCACCGCUACGUGAUGACCUCUCUGGUCAAUACAGAUCACCUUUGUUGAAGAUUUAGUGGUUGGUCUUCUUUUAUCACUUUCACAGGUUAAUUUGGCAAAACAACAAUUUCUGGAUGGAUCAACCUAGGCCGUUGUUCAUAGGGUGCAUCACCUCACCAGACGCUGGGAGAUACGGCUUUCAUGAAAACCAAUGGAAGCUCUUUCAAGAAACCAGCCCUAUUCAUUCGUCAACAGAUGGUUAAACAACCAUUCAGCAGUGCUGUAUCUCCAUUCAAGGGCCAUGCGACUGGGUGAUUGCUGUCAAAGAUUGGCCAGAGAUGUCUCCCGGUUGGCUCUUAUCUAAAAUUGGUCAUGAUUGGCUAUCGAUAUGCAAACUUUUGAGUGUUUAGCAUCUGUACCUUUGCUGUAGCUUCAUCCCCCACCUUGACAGUGUGAUUUUGUGGCUUAUAGUUAAUAAAUAUGUUUUAAUCCAGGGAUCCUAUUUCCACAGCCAUAGAUCUAAUGUGCGUGUGAUUAUAGAUGCCUUGAAGAUCUUUCUAGGGUUAGUGCCGAUGUUUUGGUCGAAGCGUUCGCUCCACAGUGGCGUUGCUGAGGACCCUUUGCUGAUGGCUCCUGACGUUCCCCUUUGAACUUAAACCAAGUGUUAACCACAUCCAUACAAAGCUGGUUUCUAAAGGAAAGUCCCCUUUUAAUGUGUGUCUCCCUUCCCCCCCCCCCUCCUGGGUGACACAAUGGCUCCCCAGAAGUCACCCAGAGUUUGAUUGAUUCCAGAGAAUUCCUUUCACACCCCGUUCUGAGAGAACAGGAACUAUUAUUAUCGAAGACAUUUGAUUGGAUGCCGCUGUAUACGCCAAACCCGCCAUUACCAGGAAGAACCCUCCGGGACGGCAGUCGUGGAGGUGGUGAAAGGGCAGCUGAUUUCUAGCUGUUCACCUGACUGCCUUCACUGAUGGCCUGUCUUUCUCUCUCCUGUCUCUCUGUAUUAUCGCUGUGUGUGUCAGACGCCGUCGGCCUCUCUGAGCCAGUUAUUCUUUUAAGGGCUUGUUAACAUACUGAUCAACGCAUCAUAUUGCUGCCGCGGCUCACCGCAUCCGACAAAUCGUCUUAGACAACUGAGGUCCUGCUGGCCUCCUCACGCUGUUCCAGCCCAGCCCUAUAGCGCUAACCUAGUCGUUUCCCUAGGAAUGCUCCUUCAUGGCUGUCCACCGUCCUUAGGCUGCCCCUCUGCAUCUCAAAGGCCUCUUUACUCCAGAACUUAAAGGAACAAACACUCAGAGCCUGCCUCUAAAAAUGCUCUCACCUUAUUUUCGUUCUGGGGCUGCGUGAAAUCCUGCUAACGGCCCUUCAGUACACCUUCAAUAAGAGGAGGGCCGCAGUGUCACAUCAACGCUAGAUCAAUCAGGAGUGGGGUAACCAUAUCAGCCAAACAGGUUGUGCAUGCUAUCCCAUGUGUUUGAUAGCACUUUAAAAGCAUUAAUAAAGUAGUAUAGGGAAUUUA
ensembl:lncRNA